rnacentral:tRNA from 1 species
UGCCCGAUGGUGUAAUGGCAGCACAGCAGCCUUUGACGCUGUUUGAGGUGGUUCGAGUCCACCUCGGGCAACCA